rnacentral:ncRNA from 2 species
GAGAACUGUCCUCGUCGUGGUUCCCUGGGGCGGUUUUGGCUGCUUCAGGGCUAAGAGGGAAUCCGGUGCGCCGAUCAUUCGGCAAGGCCGGGGCUGCCCCCGCAACUGUGAGCGGCGAGCCGCUGUCCACCCAUGUCACUGAGGCGAAAGCCUUGGGAAGACGGACAGCGGCGACGACCCGUGAGCCAGGAGACCUGCCAAGACGAAACAACGUCC